UAGGGAAUCUUCGGCAAUGGACGAAAGUCUGACCGAGCAACGCCGCGUGAGUGAAGAAGGUUUUCGGAUCGUAAAACUCUGUUGGUAGAGAAGAACGUUGGUGAGAGUGGAAAGCUCAUCAAGUGACGGUACCAUACCAGAAAGGGACGGCUAAAUACGUGCCAG
rnacentral:rRNA from 1 species